AUCUCGGUCUCCAUGGUAACUGAUGCUGCAGAGCUAGGUCUCCACGGUAACUGAUGCUGCAGAGCUAGAUCUCCACGGUAACUGAUGCUGCAGAGCUAGGUCUCCACGAUAACUGAUGCUGCAGAGCUAGGUCUCCAUGGUAACUGAUGCUGCAGAGCUAGGUCUCCAUGGUAACUGAUGCUGCGAAGCUAGAUCGCCACGGUAACUGAUGCUG